AUUGAACGCUGGCGGCAGGCCUAACACAUGCAAGUUGAACGGUAACAGGAAGAAGCUUGCUUCUUUGCUGACGAGUGGCGGACGGGUGAGUAAUGUCUGGGAAACUGCCUGAUGGAGGGGGAUAACUACUGGAAACGGUAGCUAAUACCGCAUAACGUCGCAAGACCAAAGAGGGGGACCUUCGGGCCUCUUGCCAUCGGAUGUGCCCAGAUGGGAUUAGCUAGUAGGUGGGGUAACGGCUCACCUAGGCGACGAUCCCUAGCUGGUCUGAGAGGAUGACCAGCCACACUGGAACUGAGACACGGUCCAGACUCCUACGGGAGGCAGCAGUGGGGAAUAUUGCACAAUGGGCGCAAGCCUGAUGCAGCCAUGCCGCGUGUAUGAAGAAGGCCUUCGGGUUGUAAAGUACUUUCAGCGGGGAGGAAGGGAGUAAAGUUAAUACCUUUGCUCAUUGACGUUACCCGCAGAAGAAGCACCGGCUAACUCCGUG
rnacentral:rRNA from 1 species